UGGCAUCGUUGCAAUUCGGUUCUAACAUGAAGACUCUGGUGUUUCAACUAUUAGCACUCUCUUGCCUGAUGAGAAUGGUAGUCUCUGAAAUAAAACCUGAUGCAGCUUGGUUAAAAAAGAAUGAAGAUCUUGUGAAAUGGUGCCAUCUAAAUCAGGGAUCCUUGUGGGACCGCGAAAAAUGUGUAUAUAAUGGUAUAACAUAAAGACAUUCCAUAACAUUUAUGUUGAAUUUAACAAUUAAUUUAACUAAAAAGAUAAUUAUACACAGAUAUAAAUGCUUUUGGUUCUACUGAUUAAAUAAUAAGAGUGUCCUUUGGAGUAUACAAACACCUCGAUGGCAUCUCGAUAUGUAUUUGCAUUCAAUCCCAUUGCAAUCAUAACGGUUCCACGGACUGCAGCCUGCAUCUGCUCCCCUGGAAGUAUCGUGCCUCCACGCCAUCAUCAUAAUCAUCCUGGUGCACAGACGCUCUAAUCGCUCAUUAAACGGCCACAAUUUGCCCGGACGGCGUUGCAUUU
rnacentral:lncRNA from 1 species